UACGAAGGGGGCUAGCGUUGCUCGGAAUCACUGGGCGUAAAGGGUGCGUAGGCGGGUCUUUAAGUCAGGGGUGAAAUCCUGGAGCUCAACUCCAGAACUGCCUUUGAUACUGAAGAUCUUGAGUUCGGGAGAGGUGAGUGGAACUGCGAGUGUAGAGGCGAAAUUCGUAGAUAUUCGCAAGAACACCAGUGGCGAAGGCGGCUCACUGGCCCGAUACUGACGCUGAGGCGCGAAAGCGUGGGGAGCAAACAGG
rnacentral:rRNA from 1 species